rnacentral:rRNA from 1 species
AUGGCCUGCAUCCCCAUUUUGAUUCUACUAUCCUUGAGUUCAUUCUGCAAAUCCGAUGACCAGCUCACAUAUGCAAAGCCACUCACAUCAGGCAACACUCUCGUCUCCAAGGGAGGGGACUUUGCGCUUGGCUUCUUCUCCCCAACCAGCUCCAACCGUACCCUCUACCUUGGCAUAUGGUACCACAACAUCCCCAAACACACAGUUGUUUGGGUUGCAAACCGCAACAAACCAAUCACCUCCUCUGUUUCUGCAGAGCUUGCCAUCAGCAACACUUCUGGGCUGAUCUUGUCCGACUCCCAAGGCCAAACUGUUUGGGCAACCAACAACAAAAUCACCGCUGGAGAUACCGGAGUUACUGCAGUGAUCCUCGACACAGGCAACUUGGUCCUCCGGUCAUCGAACGGCACAGACAUAUGGCAAAGCUUUGAUCACCCGACGGACACCGUCCUUCCUGGCAUGAGGUUCGUGCUAAGUUAUAAAGACCGUGUGGUUGGGCGUCUUGUUGCUUGGAAGGGCCCUGACGACCCUUCCGAUGGAGAUUUUUCUUUUGGCCUUGACCCCAGUUCAAAACUUCAGGUAGUAAUUUGGCAUGGAACUAGGUUGUACUGCCGCACCAUGGUUCGGAACAGUAUAACUGUAAGUGGAGGACCAUAUCGGAGCAACACGAGCUCCAUCCUUUACCAAACAGCCACUGACAUAGGAGACGAGUACUACGCUAUGUAUACAGUCUCCGAUGGCUCACCAUAUGCGCGUGCGAUGCUUGACUACACUGGAAAAAUGAAGACAUUGAGUUGGAGCAACUCCUCGUCUUCAUGGACAGUCAUCGGCGAGGUCCCCACUGCCUGCGAGUUCUACUCCUCGUGUGGCUCAUUCGGCUAUUGUGAUUUCAGUGGAACUGUCCAAAAAUGCCAGUGCCUUGAUGGGUACGAGCUUGAUGAUCUUGACUUCUCCAGAGGAUGUCGGAGAAUGGAACCUCUGAAAUGUGGAAAGCCAAAUCAUUUUGUGGCUUUGCCUGUGAUGAAGGUCCCUGCCAACUUCUUGCACAUCAAGAACAGAAGUUUCGACCAAUGCGCGGCUGAGUGCAGCAGCAAUUGCUCAUGUACAGCAUAUGCAUAUGCCAACUUGAGCAGUGAUGGCACUUAUGAAGACCCGUCAAGGUGCUUAGUCUGGACAGGGGAGCUUGUUGACACAUGGAAGUUCAGCAACAAUGGCGAGAAUUUGUACCUCCGGCUUGCUGACUCUCCAGAUCAAAAGAACAACAAUUUGGUAAAGGUUGUAACCCCGACUAUUGGAAGCCUGGUGAUACUGUCAUGCAUAGCCUUUGUAACGGUAUGCAUAUACAGAGGCAAGUGGCGAAACAAGGAAAUCGAACAAAGACAGAUGUUAAGAUAUGCCAGCUCUUCAAAUGAAAUUGGAGGCGAAUAUGUGGAGUUUCCCUUUGUUAGCUUCGAAGACAUUGCUACAGCAACGGAUAAUUUCUCUGACUCCAACCAAAUUGGAAGGGGAGGUUUCGGCAAAGUUUACAAGGGACUGCUGGAAGGUGGCAAGGAAGUUGCUGUCAAAAGGCUUAGUGAGGGUUCUAGGCAAGGUAUUGCGGAGUUUAAGAAUGAAAUAGUUCUAUUUGCUAAAUUGCAGCAUAAGAACUUAGUCAGACUUCUUGGCUGCUCCAUUCACGGAGAUGAGAGGUUACUGAUCUAUGAAUACUUACCCAACAAAAGUUUGGAUGCUUUCCUUUUUGGUGCUGCAAGACAAUCUGUGCUUGAUUGGCCCACACGGUUUAAGAUAAUUAAAGGUGUAGCAAGAGGGCUUCUUUAUCUCCACCAAGAUUCACGAUUAACUAUCAUUCAUAGAGAUCUCAAAGCAAGUAACAUUUUAUUGCAUACAAAAAUGAAUCCCAAAAUAUCAGAUUUCGGUAUGGCAAGGAUCUUUGGUGAAAACCAGCAGCAUGCAAGGACUACGCGAGUUGUUGGUACAUAUGGUUACAUGUCACCAGAAUAUGUGAUGGGAGGUGCCUUUUCUGUAAAAUCAGACAUUUAUAGCUUUGGUGUACUUCUCUUGGAGAUUGUAAGUGGUUUCAAGAUCAGCUCAUCAGAACUCACGACCAACUUCUCCAACCUUAUAGCUUAUGCAUGGAGGCUAUGGGAAGACGGAAACGCCGCAGAAUUGGUGGAAUCAUCUGUCUUAGAGAGGUGUCCUCUAGAAGAAGCUGUACGGUGCAUUCAUGUAGGACUCUUGUGUGUUCAAAACCAUCCUGAUGAUCGCCCCCUAAUGUCAUCUGUUAUAUUCAUGUUGGAGAACGGAAGUGCGCUGGUUCCAGCACCAAAGAAACCCGCGUAUUAUGCUCUAGGUAAUUGUGAAGUCGGACAAGCGACAGAACAGAUGGAAAAAUCUAUGAAUGGGAUAAGCAUCACAACUCUAGAUGGCCGUUAG